AUGUAUCUUUUCACCAUCCCAAAGUUUGGCAGACAGCAGGAGUCUGGUCACCCACCACUUUCUCCAAGGUGCAGAGAAAGAUUCUCAGAAUGGCAGAUUUCCAGGGAACACAAUCUGGUCUACAAGCGGAUCUCUUCUCCAGAAGUAGGAAGAAGGGAUGGUAAUGGUUUCCUUGGCAAUUUGUUUGGAGGGACUUUGUCUUUGCCUCUCUCGGAAGCUGAAAGAGUAAGAGUUGCUCAAAGUCACCCAGUGGAUUUCCAUGACUGAGCAGGGAUUUGGAUCCUGAUCUUCCAGAGUCUGAUGUUCAAAGCACUACUCAUCACUGACUUUCUCCAUAUGUCCGGUCUCAGUUAGUUAUCAGGCUGCCAUAUUUUGCAUUAACUGUAGUUUCUGAGGGGUUCCCAAAUGUAAGACGUACCACAUAUGCUGGUCAAGCGGCAACAUCUCUUUGUAUCUGUAUAAAAGGACUGAUUAGAACAGCAGCCUGCAGACCUAAAAAAAUCCCACUUUUCUUUGUUUCUGACAUUACUGUGAUAAGACGUAAAAUUUCCUUUUUGCCAAGUCACUUCUUUACCGAGACAAUCUUGAUAUUGAUCUCAGGCCAGACAAAUGGCUUUUAGUUGACAACAGAUCAAUGAACACCUCAAUAGCCAAUUUGUAUCACAGUGUAUAUAUAUGGAGCAUCACAGUAAUUUGGAAAGAUGGCUUGAUUUAUUUAUUUUCCUUUUGGAUAAUUAGAAAUAAAAUGUGCAAAAACUGGAAUGGCUUCUGAGAUUGUAUUUCCUCUUCUAUAGUCUUCGUUUUUGGAGGGGGGCAGGGAGAUCCAGGAUAUCCUAUGGCAAAUUUAUUUAUUUAUUUAUUUACAGUAUUUAUAUUCCGCCCUUCUCAUCCUGAAGGGGACUUUACACAUAUAAGGCAAACAUUCAAUGCCUUAA
rnacentral:lncRNA from 11 species